AUUGAACGCUGGCGGCAUGCCUUACACAUGCAAGUCGAACGGUAACAGGUCUACGGAUGCUGACGAGUGGCGAACGGGUGAGUAAUACAUCGGAACGUGCCUAGUAGUGGGGGAUAACUACUCGAAAGAGUGGCUAAUACCGCAUGAGAUCUACGGAUGAAAGCAGGGGAUCGCAAGACCUUGUGCUACUAGAGCGGCCGAUGGCAGAUUAGGUAGUUGGUGGGAUAAAAGCUUACCAAGCCGACGAUCUGUAGCUGGUCUGAGAGGACGAUCAGCCACACUGGGACUGAGACACGGCCCAGACUCCUACGGGAGGCAGCAGUGGGGAAUAUUGGACAAUGGGCGCAAGCCUGAUCCAGCAAUGCCGCGUGCAGGAUGAAGGCCUUCGGGUUGUAAACUGCUUUUGUACGGAACGAAAAGCCCCGGGUUAAUACCCUGGGGUCAUGACGGUACCGUAAGAAUAAGCACCGGCUAACUACGUGCCAGCAGCCGCGGUAA
rnacentral:rRNA from 1 species